rnacentral:rRNA from 1 species
GUGUACUUCAUAAAAGUACGCCAAUUAAGUCCCUGCCCUUUGUACACACCGCCCGUCGCUACUACCGAGUGAAUCGUGUCAUGAUGCUUUGUAACUAGACAUUAUAUGAGCUUAAUUGCUUAUAAUGAUGCUGGGAUCAAUGUAAAAUGGCGCAAUUUCGAGGAAGUAAAAGUCGUAACAAGGUUUCCGUAGGUGAACCUGCGGAAGGAUCAUUGUUGUGAUAUAUAUAUAAUGUGAGUAAUAAAAAAAAAUAGUGAAUGAUGCUAUUAUUAGAUAUAUAUAAUUCUAAUGAUAGCAUAAAGAGUGAAAAAAAAAAUAUAUAUAAAAGAUAUAUAAAAUAAAAUAAAUAAUGUGAGUAAAAUAUAUAAUAAAAUAACCAUUAACGGUGGAUCACUCGGCUCUGAGUUCGAUGAAGAACGCAGCUAAAUGCGAUAAUUGAUGCGAAUCGCAAGCUUAGUGAGUCAUCGAAAUUUUGAAUGCAAAUGGCGCUUUUGAUUAAUUUCAAAGGCAUGUCUAGUUGAGGGUUAAAAAUAAUAUAAAAAUAUAAUAUUAUUAUAGAAAUUUUAUAAUAAAAAUUAUAGUAAUUGGUUGUGAUAAAAUAUGAAUCUCAACUUAAAAGAAUAUAUAGUAAAAGUAUUAUUACUUAUAUAUAAUAUGCAAAAUGCAAAAUUAUAUACAUGUAUAUAAUAUACUAUAAAUAUAUUUAACCUCAACUUAGGCAAGAUUACGCCGUGAACUAAAGCAUUUCAGUAACGGCAGGAAUAGAAAAUAACAAUGAUUCUCAUAGUAACUGCGAGUG